rnacentral:rRNA from 1 species
AGAGUUUGAUCCUGGCUCAGAACGAACGCUGGCGGCAUGCCUAACACAUGCAAGUCGAACGCGUGUAGCAAUACACGAGUGGCGGACGGGUGAGUAACGCGUGGGAACCUGCCCAGUGGUAGGGAAUAACUGCGGGAAACUGCAGCUAAUACCCUAUGAGCCCUACGGGGGAAAGAUUUAUCGCCAUUGGAGGGGCCCGCGUCGGAUUAGCUAGUUGGUAGGGUAACGGCCUACCAAGGCUACGAUCCGUAGCUGGUCUGAGAGGAUGAUCAGCCACACUGGGACUGAGAUACGGCCCAGACUCCUACGGGAGGCAGCAGUGGGGAAUAUUGGACAAUGGGGGAAACCCUGAUCCAGCAAUGCCGCGUGAGUGAAGAAGGCCUUAGGGUUGUAAAGCUCUUUCGGCGGGGACGAUGGUGACGUACCCGCAGAAAAAGCCCG